rnacentral:sRNA from 1 species
CCGAGCCUGGUCUAGCCACCGCCUCCCCCGCUGCUGGCCAGCGCCCCCCGAGUCCCGGCCCGAUGCCGGCCGAACUCAGACAGGAAGGAGACUGAAGUCUGAAGAGGGAAGCCCGGGAACAGAGCCCAGGCAGCCAGGCCUCACUGGCCACGAUGCCGGAGGCACCUGAUGUGCUGGAGGAGACCGUGACGGUGGAGGAGGACCCCGGCACGCCCACUUCCCAUGUGUCUAUUGUCACAUCCGAAGAUGGCACGACCCGGCGCACCGAGACCAAGGUCACCAAGACUGUCAAGACGGUGACCACUCGGACAGUACGCCAGGUGCCCGUAGGCCCAGACGGACUCCCCCUGCUGGAUGGCGGCCCCCCACUAGGCCCUUUUGCAGAUGGUGCCCUGGACCGGCAUUUCCUGCUGCGUGGUGGUGGCCCAGCGGCCACACUCUCUCGAGCCUACCUCAGCAGCGGGAGUGGCUUUCCCGAAGGCCCCGAGCCCCGGGACAGCACCAGCUAUGGCAGCCUGUCCCGAGGGCUGGGCAUGCGGCCCCCACAUGUGGGCCUCCUUGGCCCAGGCCCUGGUGAUGGCUGCUUCACGCUGCCUGGCCACCGGGAAGCCUUCCCGGUGGGUCCUGAGCC